UAGUUUCCCCGGACAUAAUCUCUAUUGUCUUGAGCUACUCGAUAUUCCGCUUGUAACUGAGUGAGCUGCUGCCUUAGAUUUUGAUUCUCCUCUGACACUUGCUCUAUUCUCUUAGACAAAUCUUCAAGGUGUUUCUCCGAAAAUGACAUCUUGAUUCUAUUAUCUACUUCCUUCUCAUUAAAUGAAGAGUCUUCCCUUUGUAGAGA
rnacentral:lncRNA from 1 species